GCGGCUGUAGCUCAACGGUAGAGCACUCGCCUGUCACGCGAGAGGUCGUGGGGUCAGCACCCAUCAGCCGCGCCC
rnacentral:tRNA from 2 species